rnacentral:rRNA from 1 species
UAGCUAAAUGCGGAAGAGAUAAGUGCUGAAAGCAUCUAAGCACGAAACUUGCCCCGAGAUGAGUUCUCCCUGACUCCCUGAGAGUCCUGAAGGAACGUUGAAGACGACGACGUUGAUAGGCCGGGUGUGUAAGCGCAGCGAUGCAUUGAGCUAACCGGUACUAAUGAACCGUGAGGCUUAACCUU